UCGGACGUGGUGCACGGUGUACACCUGCGGCUAUUGACUUUGCCUUUCUUGGUAUACCGAAGCAGGCAACGCCUGGGUUCGACUCCCAGCGUCCGAA